rnacentral:rRNA from 1 species
AGAACGAACGUUGGCGGCGUGGAUUAGGCAUGCAAGUCGAACGAAUCCCAUUUGGGUAACUGGAUGGGGGAAGUGGCGAAAGGGGCAGUAAUGCAUGGGUAACCUACCCUGGAGUUGGGCAUAGCUAUUCUAACGAAUAGGUAAUUCCCGAUGGCCCAGCGAGAAGACAUCUUGUUGCUGGUAAAGAGUUUCGCUCCGGGAGGGGCCCAUGUGCUAUUAGCUAGUUGGCGGGGUAACGGCCCACAAGGCUAAGAUGGCUAGCGGGUGUGAGAGCACGACCCGCGCCACUGGCACUGAGACACUGGCCAGACACCUACGGGUGGCUGCAGUCGAGGAUCUUCGUCAAUGGGCGAAAGCCUGAACGAGCGACGCGCGUGCGCGAUGAAGGCCUUCGGGUUGUAAAGCGACGAAAGUGGGACGAAGCCGAAAGGUUGACGAUCACAGUAAGCUACGGCUAAGUUCGACGCCAGCCGAGACCGC